rnacentral:rRNA from 1 species
CAGCCGCCGCGGGAAUACGAAGGGGGCUAGCGUUGUUCGGAUUUACUGGGCGUAAAGCGCACGUAGGCGGACUUUUAAGUCAGGGGUGAAAUCCCGGGGCUCAACCCCGGAACUGCCUUUGAUACUGGAAGUCUUGAGUAUGGUAGAGGUGAGUGGAAUUCCGAGUGUAGAGGUGAAAUUCGUAGAUAUUCGGAGGAACACCAGUGGCGAAGGCGGCUCACUGGACAAUUACUGACGCUGAGGUGCGAAAGCGUGGGGAGCAAACAGGAUUAGUACCCGCGUAGUCCCUGUCUCUUAUACC